UUAAGUUCAGCGGGUAAUCCUACCUGAUUUGAGAUCAAGAAUAAGGAGUCCGGCUUGCGCCUUCUUCCAUGUUCCUGCGUUCGUCGGUCCCAGUCGUCAGAUCUGAACUUUGCGUAUUGGUGCUAAGAAUGAAAACGUCUUGCGACGCCUCCAACUAGUACACCUGCAACGAGCUGAUCCUUAAUGACCACUGCUCCCGC
rnacentral:misc_RNA from 1 species